CCACGCUAGGAAACCCUAGCCGCCGGCUGCCAAUCCGCUCGCGAGUCGCCCGCUCCUGCCCCUCCCCACGUUCUUCUCCUCCCUCUCUCCUCUAUCCUGCCUCCUCCCUGGUGCUCAGCAGGAGGAGCACGAGGCGCCGCCGUAUGUCGUCGUCCUCCCAAUCUCAGCGCCAUUCUCCUCACCCAAUCGCUGGUGUCCCUCACCUGGGAGCUUGGUCUCCGACGAGCACGAGAAGAGGAGGCCGCUGCUGCUCGCCCGGAGCUCGGUCUUCGACGAGCGCGAGAGGAGGAGGCCGCCGUUGCCUUGUACAAGGUGGGCUGCUGUCUCGCCCAGCCAUCCUCCUUUUCCUCCGCAUCGGGGCUGCCUCAGCAGCAGCUGGAGCCGGCUGUCGGCGUGGGGACGGCAGAUCCCGGCGGUCGGCGCGGGGACGGCGGAUCCCGGCGCCUUGAGGUGUACAGCCGGCCGUGAACUGCAACCUCCAGCCAUGGAUGAAGGCAUUUCGGCUGUGGACUGCCUCCUCGUCUCACAGUCUUCCUCGUGCAUAGCAGCAACAGCAGGGAACCGAGCUCCAAUGACUGCUAUGACAUGACGUGGAGAUGAGGUUACAAGAGCAGAGAUGGAGUCGCUAGCGGUGGUCAUGGGUCGAUGGUCUAAAAACUGACUAGAGUAAUUCUUCUCCGUGGUAUAUGUGUGUAGGUUGUCAAAAUAAGCUUCCUGCAAUUGGUCCUGGGUGGAGUGUGAAACAGUUCUGAACCAGCUACCAGGCAGGUAGUGACUUGGAUGGUAAUACAGUUACAUGAAAGGAGUACAAACCCAUGACGUUCGCAUCCAGGUAGUAAACAAGGCAGUCCGGUUGGCCAACAUUGUGCCUUGCAUUUUGGGAAAGACCCUAAAUGAUGUUCAGUUCAAAGGAUACACAAUUCCGGCAGGAUGGGGGUUGAUGGUAUGCCCACUAGCAGUGCACUUGAAUCCAAAUAUUUACCUACAUCCUCUCAUUUUCAGUGCUUCAAAGUUUAAGUUUGAACAACCUGCAUCUUAACACUGGCAUGCUUUAUGGUUUUAACAACUUGCAACGCAAUUCAUCCGAUCUGUGUUCAGGAGAGAGGUUGGGGCCAUGGUAUAUUCAGGUUCUUUUCAACAGCAAUAUUUGAGUCAUGUUCGGCCGUAUCAGUUGGUUCUGUUUGUUAUCCUUUUUCAGAGUGUUCAUCUUCAGGUGCUAUGUCAGAAUGGAUUUUAACUAUGAGAACAAGGCAGUGCCAGCUCAACUGGAGAAAACGCAAGAGUUGUUGGACAAGCACAUAGUACACGUCUGGCCAUGCCCCGUUUCACCUUUCUCUCGUCAUGACAAGAAGGAAGAGAAGUCUCUACAAUCCUCGAGGGAAUCACCUCUAGCAAGCAAGUAGCUCCUAAAGAAAUUUGAUGAUUAUCAUGCCUUGCAAUGCCCCAUUCAGCUUUAGUUUAGUAGACAGCUGGUUAACUGCUUCCUGAAGUGACUGUAUGAUGCAAAGCUAUGGUUCUUUUCGAAGAUGGCUAGAGAAAUGGCCCAGGAAAUCAGCUUUUGUUAGACUUGCUGGUGAAGGAGAUUGGUCCCAUCAAUUUAAGAUGAAGAGUAGCGAAUUGUUUGGACUGAAUUCUGAAUAUGCUGCAUUUGUGCCAUGUGAGAGAAAUAGCAUAUUGUUAUCAUCUUGAAAUAGUAGACAAAAAUGUACAUUGAGGAGCUCGUCACUUCAGUACAGACUACAGAGAGAUGACGGCUUGAGAUAUAGUCGCAACACCAUCAUUGGCUGCAAGAAUUUGCUCCCUGGAAGCGGAAAUGUCAAGACGGUAGCCUGUAACCACCUCUGCAUUAUUAUGAAUAUUGUUAUUUAUGUUUAGACAUAUCUCACACAUUCGAAAUUAUUAAACUAUGUAGCUAGCUUAAUUAAUCUACACAUGCAUCAGAUGAAUUCUCCCAUUGUACAUGUAAAUUUGAUUUUCCUCUCUAUGAUGGAUAUUGGGGCUGAAUAAAUUACCGAGUGAUGACUGAUGGUAUUGCGUACUUGCUGCAAAAAGAAGAAAAGUAAAAUUGCUCGAAUUAUGCCUUUUUAGUACAGUUUUAGUUCCAGAAUGCUAAUUGGUUGUGUUAAA